GACGAACGCUGGCGGCGUGCCUAAUACAUGCAAGUCGAACGCAGUGGGGACGGGUGAGUAACACGUGGGUAACCUCCCAUCAGAGGGGAUAACACUUGGAAACAGGUGCUAAACCGAUACUGAUGGAUGGACCCGCGGUGCAUUCGCUAGUUGGUGAGGUAACGGCUCACCAAGGCGAAGAUGCAUAGCUGACCUGGUAGGGUAAGCGGCAACACUGGGACUGAGACACGGCCCAGACGCCUACGGGAGGCAGCAGUAGGGAAUCUUCGGCAAUGGACGAAAGUCUGAUCGAGCAACGCCGCGUGAUUGAAGAAGGUUUUCGGAUUGUAAAACUCUUUUGUUAGAGAAGCGGUAUCUAACCAGAAAGCCACGGCUAACUACGUGCCAGCAGCCGCGGUAAUUC
rnacentral:rRNA from 1 species